GGUAUCCUUAUCCUGGGGUAUUGUUCUGUGCUCAGCUGCAUGUUUUGAGAUUUGGUUUGCAAUGAAGUGGGUAGGAUGUCAACCCCAAUGGCCUCACAUAAAUCAGAUUCAGCCCUCAAACACUAACAGCUAGGGUUUAGUGUUAGUGGAUUCCAUGGUUGGUUGCAGCCUACAGCUAAACGCUCCCAGGGCAGAGGGAAGCUUCUCCUAUGAGAGAAAGGCUCGAGGCGGUCGUUUGGCUUGAGUGGUGCAUCUUGGAGGAACGUAGGUGGAGACAACGAUAUGGGCAAACAAUGCUGCAUCAGCAUCAAGAGCUCAUCAACUGGCCAUGCGAGGCGCGACGACUGCGGCCGGCAGCACGAGGGUGUGGGGCUGGUCGGCUGGAAGGCGUGCCGGAGGUGUGGCCACAUCUGAGUACCUAAGUGAGCUUGCUUUGGUUCAUGUCAUGAAGAGACUGGCGGCCUGCCUCCGAGGGAGGCGACACUGAAUGCGCUGAGCCGAUGUCAUCUGAAGAAUCAAGCACCAAGAUACUGCCUCAAGCUGGCAUCUUGCCACUGCUCGCUGUCUCGCUGCUCCAUGGCCAGGUAUGGCGGCGAUGUGCUUUGUCCAGUGGAGACAAGCGGCGUGGGAGAAGAUGAACAUCGGGAGGGGUCGAGGUUGAGCAGGAGAUGAAGGGGUUGUCGUGCGCAGCACCGUGCUCGGUUUACCUUGGGCUCAUCAUCAAGGACUAUGGCAACAGUCGGGUCUGAUCCGGAGGCGGUGUGGUCAGCGUGUCCUCAGCUGAAGGAGGCGAGGACCAGCACGAGGUUUCAUAGCUUCAAAUCAUUCACUAAUUGAUCUUCUGGAAAUGUAUUAAGACCAUCUUGCAAAAGUUCAUGAUUGUUUGACUCAGUUAUGGCAAAUUAAGCCAUGAUUGUUUGACUCAGUUAUGGCAAAUUAAGCAAAUGAGCUUUUCAUGUAUUCCUGUUUGUAUCAGAUCGGCUUAUUAACAUUUGUGAAACAGUGGAGAUGUUGCUCGGCCCUUCACCAUACCACACGCUUUAGAGGGUGGAGCAUGUCACCAUCCUCAAUCCAUGAGUGUGGUAAGCAUUCGGUGCUUCAAGCUGAUAUUCCUG